UUAUGGCUCAGGACGAACGCUGGCGGCGUGCUUAACACAUGCAAGUCGAACGGGAGUAUUGAAGAAGCUUGCUUAGAGAUACUUUAGUGGCGGACGGGUGAGUAACGCGUGAGGAGCUGUCCUAUGCAGGGGGACAACAGCUGGAAACGGCUGCUAAUACCCCAUAAGCCGAGAGGUAAAAGGAUCAAUCCGGCAGAGGAGGUACUCGCGUCCUAUCAGCUAGUAGGUGAGGUAACGGCUCACCUAGGCGAAGACGGGUAGCCGGCCUGAGAGGGCGAACGGCCACACUGGAACUGAGAUACGGUCCAGACUCCUACGGGAGGCAGCAGUGGGGAAUAUUGGGCAAUGGGGGGAAACCCUGACCCAGCGACGCCGCGUGGGUGAAGAAAUCCUUCGGGAUGUAAAGCCCUGUUGUAUGGGAAGAGCGGAAGACGGUACCAUACGAGGAAGCCCCGGCAAACUACGUGCCAGCCGCCGC
rnacentral:rRNA from 1 species